UCCGGGACGCCGCCAUCUUUGUUUAAAUUCUUUUAAAUUCUUUUUUCUUUGUUCAUACGAGGAACGGUUACUUGAGCUAAAUCUGUUCAGUCUCAAGCAAAGGAGACUGAGGGGGGACAUGAUCCAGAAUAGAAACCCACAAAUGCAGCUCCCUCCACCAGCAACGCCAACCAGCUUAAGCGCUUCUAUGCUGAGUUUGAUAUGGACAAUAAAGAAACUGCCACAAAAUCCAUGCCCCCUGAUGACCAGCCCCUUAUAAUUCCACCACCGUUGUGGGGUCCGUACUACAAAGAGUCAACGCAAGGUAAGCUGCAAAGUGCAGACAAAUUUACAAUCUACCCUACCAGGGGGUUCAUUUGAAGCCGGCACCCGGCGAUAUUUCGCCGCCUGUGGGUAAGUACAUAGCCGGCUACUUUCAGUUGUUGAAAAAAAAAAUCUGCCUCUGUUACCAGAAUCAAACGAUCAGCACUCGGUGCCACAAUAAAAGAUUUAUUUUUCAGAAAUUUCCGUGUUCUGUCUAGGCGCAGCCAUUAAUUCUUAUCUUCGUUUUGAUUGGCUAUUUUUGGCAAGUUUUUAUUCUGCGGUUUCUGGUUGGCUGAUUGAGGCAAGUGGACAAAAUGGCGUCUAGAAAGCGAAGCAGCCUUCUUGACCAGUGGCUGCAACCGAGCGCGAAAUUGCCCAGGACUGAAGGAACUGAAGUUCCUCCUGUCAUCAGAAGCAGCACCAGCACCUGCCUGCCAUCACCUGCCCACUUUGAGACUCAAAUCUUAAAAUAUAGACAGUGUGAAUUGGGACCUUGACAUUUUGCUCAUAUCACUUCCUGUGCCGGCACUUGGAGGAUGGGCUUCCCCUU